rnacentral:rRNA from 1 species
AACGAACGCUGGCGGCAUGCCUAACACAUGCAAGUCGAACGAGACCUUCGGGUCUGGUGGCGCACGGGUGCGUAACGCGGGGGAACCGGCCCUUAGGUUCGGAAUACCACCCCUAAAGGGGGGCUAAUGUCGGGAAAUGUAUUCUGAUAAAAGAUACAUCGCCCUUGGGUGGGCCGGAGAUGGAUGAGCCAGUUGGGAGGGUAAAAGCCUACCAAGGCGACGAUCGAUAGCUGGUCUGAGAGGAAGAUACGCCACACUGGGACUGAGACACGGCCGAGACUCUUACGGGAGGCAGCAGUGGGGAAUAUUGCACAACGGGCGAAAGCCUGAUCCCGCACUGCCGCGUGAGUGAUGAAGGUCUUAGGGUUGUAAAGCUCUUUUACCCGGGAUGAUAAUGACAGUACCGGGAGAAUAAGCUCCGGCUAACUCCGUG